AUGGAAGACUAUAAUCCCUGUGGGAAAGUUCCUGCUAAUCCAUCCCUCUUCCCAGGUGUUGUGCCUUCCUCGCCUCCGCCUCUUCUCCCUGUCCCCUCUCCACUCAGAUCCAGUCCCAAGAGGCUGCUAGAGUCGCUGUUUGGGCUUCCGGUUCCGCCAGCGAAGAAGGCCAGCAUCCAUGGAGGUCGUGGGAGGGCAGAAGAUCAGUCUGAUUCGGUGCUCGGAGCUCCGCCUGUUAGGCAAGUUCUCUCUCCACAGCCAUCUGCAACUAGUGGUAUGGGAGCCUUCACAGUGCCUGUUAGUCCAGGGAGAGGAAGGACUUUGGACGGUUCUUCGCCUUUUGGAUCCGCAACAUCUCAGGGUGGCUACCAUCGAUAUCGCUAUAGCAGAUGGGAUAUUCCUCCGGCCAGGGGAUAUGGAGGUUUGCGUUCCAAUAUGCAUGGGGUUAUGCACAAUCGCGCUUGUUCCUCCACUUGGAAGCGUGAUGCAUGUUGA
rnacentral:rRNA from 1 species